rnacentral:tRNA from 1 species
GGUAGCCAAGUGGUUAAAGCAUCUGCCUACGGUGCACAUGGUCGUGAGUUCGAUUCCCACCC